UCUGUCCCAAUUGAUUUUCCAUAUUCUUGAUCGAUGCAUUCUGACUUUGUAUACUCAGCUCCAUUUGAUUAAGUUUCUUUUCAUGUUCCUCGUGUUUCUUUUCAGAAGCUUUAAUAACUUUUUCCAAGGCUUCAUGCCAAUUUGAAUGUUCUUCCUGUUGUAGUGGAGGUGGACACGAGAAAUCCGGUGGGUAUGUUGGACUUGGAGCAUAAAAUUGAUCUUGAUUGUUACUCCAUGAAAAAUUCGGGUGAUACCCCCAAACUUGUUCAUAAUUAUCAUAUGCAUACUGAUUGAGGUAGUUACCACCAUAUUGUACCGGCCCAAGAUUGAUGGUGCAUUGAUUACUCGGGUGAUUGCCAGCANNNN
rnacentral:lncRNA from 1 species